GGCGACGUAGCCAAGCGGUAAGGCAAGGGUCUGCAAAACCCCGAUCACCGGUUCGAAUCCGGUCGUCGCCUCCA
rnacentral:tRNA from 1 species